rnacentral:misc_RNA from 1 species
CCUCCAGAUCUGUAAAUUUCAAGCUAUCCGACACCACCAAGCUCGAUUCGUUACUCGAGCAGUGAGAAGAUGUGGAACUACCAGAGCAUAAAUCUCCGUCGAGAAAACCGACGGAAUUGGAAGAAGUUGCCGGUGAAAUGUUCUUAUCGCGGGAUAAGUUGAAAAAACGGUGGUCCUGAAGCUCAAAACGCAGUGAAGGUAAAUUCAAUUCUUGAAAACUAAAAUCGAAAUCAAUUUUCUUUUUCUUUGAGAAAGCUGUGGUUGAAGAUUCAAUGGCUUCAAUUCCUUCCCCUCUUUGCUUACAAUUCCCCGCAAAAUCCUCCAUUUCUCUCUCUCU